rnacentral:rRNA from 2 species
GGCUCACCAAGUCAAUGAUCUUUAGGGGGCCUGAGAGGGUGAUCCCCCACACUGGUACUGAGACACGGACCAGACUCCUACGGGAGGCAGCAGUGAGGAAUAUUGGACAAUGGGUGAGAGCCUGAUCCAGCCAUCCCGCGUGAAGGACUAAGGCCCUAUGGGUUGUAAACUUCUUUUAUACUGGGAUAAACCUACUUACGUGUAAGUAGCUGAAGGUACAGUAUGAAUAAGCACCGGCUAACUCCGUGCCAGCAGCCGCGGUAAUACGGAGGGUGCAAGCGUUAUCCGGAUUUAUUGGGUUUAAAGGGUCCGUAGGCGGAUCUGUAAGUCAGUGGUGAAAUCUCAUAGCUUAACUAUGAAACUGCCAUUGAUACUGCAGGUCUUGAGUGAGAUUGAGGUAGCUGGAAUAAGUAGUGUAGCGGUGAAAUGCAUAGAUAUUACUUAGAACACCAAUUGCGAAGGCAGGUUACCAAGUCUUAACUGACGCUGAUGGACGAAAGCGUGGGGAGCGAACAGGAUUAGAUACCCUGGUAGUCCACGCCGUAAACGAUGCUAACUCGUUUUUGGGGCCUUGCGCUUCAGAGACUAAGCGAAAGUGAUAAGUUAGCCACCUGGGGAGUACGUUCGCAAGAAUGAAACUCAAAGGAAUUGACGGGGGCCCGCACAAGCGGUGGAGCAUGUGGUUUAAUUCGAUGAUACGCGAGGAACCUUACCAAGACUUAAAUGGGAAAUGACAGGUUUAGAAAUAGACCCUUCUUCGGACAUUUUUCAAGGUGCUGCAUGGUUGUCGUCAGCUCGUGCCGUGAGGUGUUAGGUUAAGUCCUGCAACGAGCGCAACCCCUGUCACUAGUUGCUAACAUUCAGUUGAGGACUCUAGUGAGACUGCCUACGCAAGUAGAGAGGAAGGUGGGGAUGACGUCAAAUCAUCACGGCCCUUACGUCUUGGGCCACACACGUGCUACAAUGGCCGGUACAGAGGGCAGCUACCAGGUGACUGGAUGCGAAUCUCGAAAGCCGGUCUCAGUUCGGAUUGGAGUCUGCAACUCGACUCUAUGAAGCUGGAAUCGCUAGUAAUCGCGCAUCAGCCAUGGCGCGGUGAAUACGUUCCCGGGCCUUGUACACACCGCCCGUCAAGCCAUGGAAGUCUGGGGUACCUGAAGUCGGUGACCGUAACAGGAGCUGCCUAGGGUAAAACAGGUAACUAGGGCUAAGUCGUAACAAGGUAGCCGUACCGGAAGGUGCGGCUGGAACAUCUCAUUUU